AGCAGCCGCGGUAAUUCCAGCUCCAAUAGCGUAUAUUAAAGUUGUUGCAGUUAAAAAGCUCGUAGUUGAAUUUCGGGGUCAGUAGGUUGGUCAUGCCACUGGUAUGUACUGGUCUCACUGAUUCCUCCUUCCUGAUGAGCCGUAAUGCCAUUAAUUUGGUGUUGCGAGGAAUCUGGACUGUUACUUUGAAAAAUUAGAGUGUUUAAAGCAGGCUAACGCUUGAAUACAUUAGCAUGGAAUAAUGAAAUAGGACGUUCGAUCUUAUUUUGUUGGUUUCUAAGAUUGACGUAAUGAUUAAUAGGGAUAGUUGGGGGCAUUAGUAUUCAAUUGUCAGAGGUGAAAUUCUUGGAUUUAUUGAAGACUAACUACUGCGAAAGCAUUUGCCAAGGAUGUUUUUCAUUAAUCAAGAACGAAAGUUAGGGGAUCGAAGACGAUCAGAUACCGUCGUAG
rnacentral:rRNA from 1 species